rnacentral:lncRNA from 1 species
UAGCAAUUACUAGAGCUCUGAUGCUUUGUAAAAUCUUAUAGUGGAAGCCUUUAUUCUCUAUAUGAGUCCAAAUAGAUUAGAUCAUUAAAAAAAAAAACAAUCAGGAACUAUUACUUGGCAGUCCAACAAACAGGUAUAAUAUAGACUUCAUAAAAUCUGAAGUGGGAUACCCUCAAUAACCUUUUAUUAACUAGCUAAUGCUAACAGCUCAGGCUUUUAAGUGACUAUGUUCUUUCUUCUUUAAUUCACCCUUUCCUUUUCCUUUUUUCCCGCUUUUAAAAAUUGAAACUUUUACAAUUUAAAUGCAUGAUUUAAAACAUCUCAUAGUUCGACGUUUGCAUUCCUUCUUCUCUCCACCCGCUUCCCCCAUCACUACCAUGGGAGUAAUGGAAUUUUUGAGGUUAAAGUUAAAGCUAUGUAAAUCAUCCAAAAGAGUUGUCUUAGUUACUCUUAACACCCAGCAAAGAUAAUAUUUAGAAAGACUUAUUCUGGGAAGUUUAGAACUAUUGAAGAUAUACUCAAGCUGGAGUUUGGUUUAAGUCCACACUCUGUCGUAAUACUUUACAAACUAGUAUAAAUCUUAUCUUCUUGUUGAUUUCAGUAUAUGAGCUAAAUGAAAAUGAUUCUGGAGUCCCCUGGUGGCUUAGCAGCGUUGUCACUGCUGUGGCUCGGGUCACUGCCAUGGCAUGGGUCUGAUCCCUGGCCGUUGGAAUUUCCACAUGCCACGGGUGCAACCAUAAAUAAAUAAAUAAUGAUUCUAUGUUUUGUCACUCUAAAUCACAUACCUAAAAGGCAAAAAUGAAUCCUUAAUCGUCCCCCACCUCAAUUUGAGAACUAUUGAGUCAAGUGUGGUUACAGCCAUCAAGAGGCAUGAGAGGAUUGUUUAUAAUUUGAUAUUUUAAAGUUAAGUUCCUAUUUAAAACUAGACUCAGGAAAUUUGACAGACAUAAAAGACCUAAUUUUAAAAAAUAAAAUUUCCUAAAUGUAUAGCCAUAUCUUUCUCUAAACUUGAAAACAAUAGAAUAUACAUGAUUUUUAAGUCACUAUUUUACAGCUUUUCAGGAUGACAUAGUAUAUCUAUCACAUAUAUAGUAUAUACAUAUAUAAUUUCUGUAUCCAAUAUAUGCAAUGAAAUAUUAAGUAAAAUUCUAUAUGAUACUGACCCAAUUAUUAACUAAUUGAAAUCUUGGAGAGAAAGGUAAAGAUUUGUGCUUUCACACUUGAAGCAACUAAAUUAAAUUAAGGUUUUAAGAGAAAUGGAUAUGAGUGUUCUUUAAGAACAAGGAAGCAUGUACUUGGUCCCAGAAACAGCAGUGGCAGUCACAACCAUAGCUACUCUAGUUGAUGUUUGCCGGCUGUUUCCAUGUCUCAUCUGUGUGCUCAUUUCUACCUGUGGACCCUGGUGCCUCAUUGAGUGUGGGCGCAGGUGCCUCUGCACAGGCAUGCCUGCACCAGACUGGUGGUUCAGCCCAGAGGCCACACCUCACCUCCUGCCUUUUAAUGCCAGAGGUGGUACAUCCCCAGAUGGGUGUGAGUGUGCCUUCCAACAUCCAAAGUCCUCAGUGCCUUAAAAAAAAGACCACCUACCACACAGUUAAGUAAGGGGAAGGGUCUUUUUUACCAACAGAAAAGCCUCGAUUUGAAGAUCACCAACGCCGAGUUUAUCUCAUCUCCUAGGAGCAUCGUGACAAAAAAUCUUUUUCCCUCCAAAGACUAGUAGUAAUUUUUAGAGAGAAAGACUCCGGACAUUCAUUUGGUCUGCAUUGUUGAAAAUGAACACUUCCAAGUGAGAAUUUCCUAUUUGAUGCAGCCUUUUCCUAUUUGAUCACUGCAUGUGUAGAAGCAAAAUUCCAAAUCCAGAAACGAAGCCUCUUUGGCUGAUCCACGCAGAUAGGGGUAUCCUAAAAUUUCCCUGGCCUCUCAACCCUAACAAAUUAGCUCAUUUCUAGUUCUUUGCUCUGGAAUGUCUUUCUGCUUAGUUUCUCCUGUAUUUAUUCUGUGGCUGAAACCCAAAAAUAGAGAAAUCUGCCUGAUGAAAUUUCAUUCUAGGAUAAGGAAGUCAGUACAAGAAGGAAUAUGAGGCAAAUAAGAUCUCUCUCUCUUUUUUUCUUUUUAGGGCCAUACCCGCAGCAUAUGGAAAUUCCCAGGCUAGGGGUCGAAUCAGAGCUCUAGCUGCUGACCUACACCACAGCCACAGCAACACAGGAUACAAGCUGUGUUAGUGACCUACACCACAGAUCAUGGCAAUGCCAGAUCCUUAACCCACUGAACAAGGCCUGGGAUCGAACCUGAGUCCUCACGGAUACUAGUCAGGUUUGUUACCACUGAGCCACAACAGGAACGCCAGAGGCAAAUAAGAUCUUGCCUCCGUUGGCAGCGUCCUGCUCCCACUCUCCUUCUGCAAACGUUUCCCGUCCUUGCUGUUUGCACUUAGCCGCCCUUAUCAAAACAGUUCCAAGACACUUGAACCUCCCCAGGGAGGGACAUGGUUCUUUCUCGUUUCACAUGGGUGGCUCUGCAGACUCAUAUUUUGCAGAAAUGUUUGACAUUGCCCCCAUGUCUGAAGAUGAUUAGGCAGUGAUUCCGAUUUGUGAGUCCAAGUGCCUCGGAAAGGUUCCCAUCACAAGUUUGAAAGGACUGGGUGGAUAGUCAUUUUGUCCUCGUCUUAAUUAACGGUCCAAGCGCACUUCCAAGUGUGGGUCCUUGAACUGUUUUUCUUUCCUUCAGACUCAGAUGGAUUAUCCAAACUUAAAUUAACAUUUUAAGGCUAUUGCUAUGACCAUAGUUGCAUAGAUUCUUGCUUGAUAUUUACUUUUGAUUUGCUAAAAAAAGAGUUAAACCCUAAACACCAUCUUUAAGAGUUGGCAACACAGUGAAAUUCAAAUAACCAGAAGAAAAUGUUUUAACACAAUAUAUAUGUACAUAAAGUAUAUCCUGAAGUUUUUCACUUGGAAUUAAGUUUUUUAUUACUUCCCCAACAUUUGAAAAGAUCAAAUUUGACAGAAAUAAGUCUACUAAUGAAGCAACAAUGGCAGAUUGAUUACACACUGAAAUGUUUCCCCGGCUAUCUUCCUUCUUACCCAAGAUUAUCAUUGAUAUUUUUGUACCAAAAGGAAAGUAAUCUUGAAAUUGUCCGGAGGAAGGAAAACAGAGAUAGUACACGAAACCCCCCACCCCAACUUCAGUAUUUUAAUGUCAGUCUGAGAGGUGGCUUCUGUUUAAAUACACCUCCGUAUCUGAGGCCUUUUUAGUUAAUUUGUUUUCAUCCAUCUGAAUGACCUAAUUUCCCAGGGAAAUCAAGAAAUAACCUGAGGUUUCACUGGGAACAUUGCACUCUGUAGCCUUUCAGUUUGGCAACGAGAUAUUGUAACUGUUCUCUCCUCUACUCUCAUACCCCAGAAAAGGCUGUUUUUUCCUAACUCAGGAAUCCCCCUUAUCUGAUGCCUUCUCCCACCCCACCCCCAUCCCCCAGGCUCUACCCUCCUCUGUCUCCUGGAUUGUCACACAGCCCCUACCAGCCCUCAUUCCACCCAUGCAUUAGGGAGCUUAGUGCCAGCUUGAUCUCUCCACAUCUUAAAUCCUACCUGUGCCUGCAGGAGGAGGUACAGGUAGUCUGGCGGGCAGCAUGCACUCGUGCACACCUGCCUCCUGUGUGUCCCAAGCCAGGUAGGUAGCUCCAUCCCUCCAGCCUCAGUCUGCACCUCCUUUGCCAGGAGGCCUUUCCCCCUCUGCAGUGAGACCCCACACCCCUGCACGCUCUCCUCCUCGAGCCCUGCCUCUUGGUGUGUUAGGAUUUGAUAUUAAAAACAUUUCUUUUCUGUUGCAUUGAUUUUUAAAUCUCCGAACACUACAGGUCUAUGUUCUUGUUUGCUUGGGAUCCAGAAACCCUGUUGCUACUCUCCAGCCACAUGCCCUGGUAACAAUGAGCAAAACAUUUGUUCCUAUAAUUAGUUUGAAAAGUUGAAUGCAAGAUUAUAUUAAAUGGAGGGAUAUUCUGUUUGGAAGGCUUAUGACCUAAUGUUCUUGGUUCCCUGUCAUGAGGAAACAAAAACAUUUUCAAGGUCCUCAGACAGAAAAGUAGCAAAUCUGGGCUUUCCUCUCCUUCCUUAUAAGCAUUUGUUUUUUUAAUGUAGAGGUUUUAUUGCCCGAGCAAUUGUGUCCUCGGCAGUGUUUAAGGAGAGAUGCCGAGGUUAAAGGGGGAAAGGCCGGGAGAUGCACAUCUGGGGCAACCUGUGCUGUUUCAGACCUGGCAGGCAGGUGGAGGGCAUGCCUCGCCUAUGUGUUUGUGAGUGGGGUCAUCUCUGUUUCCUCUCUGUAUUGAUGCCGUACUUGAAUUCAUGGCCCCCAGAAAAGACCACGUCAAAGCACUUGGUUUCCAUUGACUCUGUGACUUUGACCCUUUUUGUCCUGUUCAGUGUGGUUCAGAUAAGACCUUGGGAAGCGUGACCCUGACAGCGCAGCUUUUCUGGGUGGUUAAUAAGCACAUGUGCCUCUGUCCACUGUGACAACGUGGACCCCCACUUCCCAAAACUAAUUUAUUCUGACUGUUUUUCACUUUUUUCUGUUCAUCCUUUUUGAGUGCCAUCCUGUUGCCUGGUAGUGUGUCUAGAUAACCCUGUUCCCGUAUUCACUAGCAUAAAGAAGCUAAAAGUGUGCUAGUGCUGGCUAUAAACAUGAAGACGUGAUAAGGAGUAGAGCUAGAGUCACCAGCUCCUGCUGUCCUCACAUUGGUGGCUUGUCCCCUUCCUCCUGUGACAGAUAAAAUUGUAAAUCAUUCAAGUUUACCAAUAUAUCUGGGCUCCGGUGAGCCAUAUGUCUUUGCUUUUAUUUGUGAGCAUAACAACCUUUUCUUUUCUGUUAUUUAAUUGGAGAGUUUUAUCUCAUACACUCCCUCUCUUUUGCUUCUUUGUAUGUUACCCUUACCAUCAGUCAUUCCAAAACCUAAGAAGAAAAUGAAUUGUUCCCCUCAAAGUGUUCCAGUCAUUUCCUAC